rnacentral:rRNA from 1 species
GAUGAACGCUGGCGGCGUGCCUAAUACAUGCAAGUCGAGCGAACGGACGAGAAGCUUGCUUCUCUGAUGUUAGCGGCGGACGGGUGAGUAACACGUGGAUAACCUACCUAUAAGACUGGGAUAACUUCGGGAAACCGGAGCUAAUACCGGAUAAUAUUUUGAACCGCAUGGUUCAAAAGUGAAAGACGGUCUUGCUGUCACUUAUAGAUGGAUCCGCGCUGCAUUAGCUAGUUGGUAAGGUAACGGCUUACCAAGGCAACGAUGCAUAGCCGACCUGAGAGGGUGAUCGGCCACACUGGAACUGGGACACGGUCCGGCCUCCUACGGGAGGCAGCAGUAGGGAAUCUUCCGCAAUGGGCGAAAGCCUGACGGAGCAACGCCGCGUGAGUGAUGAAGGUCUUCGGAUCUUAAAACUCUGUUAUUAGGGAAGAACAUUUGUGUAAGUAACUGUGCACAUCUUGACGGUACCUAAUCAGAAAGCCACGGCUAACUACGUG